rnacentral:ncRNA from 1 species
AUAAAUAGCGCGGAAAGAAUACCCGUUUAAGCUUGACUCUAAUCUGGCAGUGUAAGGAGACAUAAGAGGUGAAUAAAAAGUAGGAGAUAUUAGACUUCGGUUUGGUAUCGACAAUGAAAUACCACUAUUCUUAUUAUUACCUUACUUGAUUAGAUGGAACUUGUAUCAUUUCCUAGCCAUUACACGGAUAUAAUUAUUUUGUCUUCUAGUAUUGGUCUUUGAUGUUAUAUUUUUUUUGUAAUAUAAUCGCAAACCAAUUCUUUAAUGAGAGAAUGCAUUUAUGUAUUAUUGAUUUAAAAAUUUGGUAUAUCUCUAAUUACUCAGGUAUGAUCCAAUUCAAGGACAUUGCCAGGUAGGCUAGGUAGGCGGACAGAAACUACACAUUGAGCAAAAGCGCAAAUGCUGACUUGAUCUCGGCGUUUGGUACACACACGGACAGCAAAAGUUUGGCCUAUCGAUCCUUAUGGUUUAAAGAGUUUUUAACAAGAAAUGUCAGAAAAGUUACCAUAGGGAUAACUGGCUUGUGGUGGCCAAGCGUCUUUAGCGACGGCGCUUUUUGAUCCUCCGAUGUCGGCUCUGGUUCACCCAUGCAAGGGAACGUGAGCUGGGCUUAGACCCUCGUGAGACAGGUUACCCUACUAAUCACAAGACGUUGUUGCGACAGCAUUCCUGAGCAGUACGAGAGGAACCGCAGGUACGGACCAAUGGCACAAUACUUGUUCGAGCGAACAGUGGUAUGAUGCUACGUCCGUUGGAUUAUGCCUGAACGCCUCUAAAGUCGUAUCAAAGACAAUAUAAUCACUAAGAUGAGUAACGCCAUACAACAAAAUGCUACUAUGCAGUUUGAUUUUUUUUUAAAUUGCGAACGAAAACGAAAUCCGUAGCAUUGCGCUGUCACAGCCGAGAGAACGAAAAAGCUAAAAAUAGAAUUUGCUCUUAGCUUCGGCUUUAUGAGGGCCGUGCAAGCAAUUAUGUUUGUAUGCGUGUGAAUAUACAUACAUAGCAGUAUAUUUGAAUGUGUUGGUAUC